CCCCUGUUUAUCAAAAACAUGGCUCUCUGUAUAUUGAAGAUAGAGAGUCGGACCUGCCCGGUGAAUUUUUUAACGGCCGCGGUACUCUGACCGUGCAAAGGUAGCAUAAUCAUUUGCCUUAUAAUUGAAGGCUAGAAUGAAUGGUUUGACAAGAAUACAACUGUCUCUUUACAAUUACAUAAAAUUUUAUCUGCAGUUGAAGAAGCCUGCAUUUGAAUAAAAGACAAGAAGACCCUAUCGAGCUUAAAAAAAACUGGUGGAAUAACAAACUUAAUCCUAACUUAUAAAUAAAUAAAUAGUCAACUACUGGAAAUUUUGGUUGGGGCGACCGGGGAACAAAAAAAACUUCCUUUAUAAAAAUUUAGAUGCCCAAAUAUUGAUCCAGCAUUAUAUGAUUAAAGAAAUUAGUUACCGUAGGGAUAACAGCAUUAUCUUUUUUAAGAGUUCUUAUCGAAAAAAAGGUUUGUGACCUCGAUGUUGGACCAGAAUAUCCUAAAGAUGCAGCCGUCUUUAAGGGUUGGUCUGUUCGACCAUUAAAAUUCUACGUGAUCUGAUUCAGACCGG
rnacentral:rRNA from 1 species